rnacentral:lncRNA from 1 species
GACAUCUGCAUUGAAAAACAAAACAAAGCGAAAAUAUAGAUGCCAUUGAAACCCAUCAUUACGUUUGUGAUCUAGAUAAUAAAGUAUGUUGCACGACUGUUGCCUGUAAGUGUGAAAAGUCAGGAUGAGAGUUCACAGCAGGUUGAUGGCCUGGAGAUGAGAAGUCUGUCUGAGGACAUUUCAAAGUUGUAAAGGUAUUAUUCUCACAUGAAGUUAUUUCUCAGUGGGUGUGAACAACAGCUACUCAUCAAGCUGGUGUAGUGUGAAAUAGAGUUUCCUGAAAAAUGAUGUGCAGACAUAUGCAGAAAGCCACAUGCCUAGUACAUGCACAGACUGUGUGCCUAACUUCCAAGUGUUGGAAUAUUUGCCAUG